CAUAUCCAAAGAUGCGUAGCGGAUUAAAGGUUGGAUCUGUCACUAACCGUACAUCGGCGAUCGCCGGAUCAUAGAGACCUCCGAAUAGACUCGCCUUGAGGGCAAGGAAUAAUGCCCCAAUACCUAACAGGACAAGGUGAAUACCGAGAAUACUGGUCAUUUUUUGGCCAUCUUCCCA
rnacentral:antisense_RNA from 1 species